AUGUCAUUUUGUCCAAGUGGCAUUGUAUCUUUGUGUCUGCUCCCAAAGCUAGCUGGUUUUGUCUUUAUGAUUCUCUUUCCUCCUUGCAGAAUUGUAUGUAAUAAUAUAAAUAUUUGUCAAGUUGUUCCAGAUGAUGUUAAUUUGGUAUGCAACACUUGUGUCUGUUUGGUUGACAUGUUGGCGAAAUUUUUGAGAAUGUUUACCAUAAGUGGUUCAAUUACAUUUUGUUUAGGCCUUAAACAGUUGGCAUUGUCACAUGAAAUUAACUGUUUGUGUAGUGGACACCACCCUCAUUAG